rnacentral:rRNA from 1 species
AUUGAACGCUGGCGGCAGGCCUAACACAUGCAAGUCGAGCGGAUGCGGGGAGCUUGCUCCUGGAUUCAGCGGCGGACGGGUGAGUAAUGCCUAGGAAUCUGCCUGGUAGUGGGGGAUAACGUCCGGAAACGGGCGCUAAUACCGCAUACGUCCUGCGGGAGAAAGUGGGGGAUCUUCGGACCUCACGCUAUCAGAUGAGCCUAGGUCGGAUUAGCUAGUUGGUGGGGUAAAGGCCUACCAAGGCGACGAUCCGUAACUGGUCUGAGAGGAUGAUCAGUCACACUGGAACUGAGACACGGUCCAGACUCCUACGGGAGGCAGCAGUGGGGAAUAUUGGACAAUGGGCGAAAGCCUGAUCCAGCCAUGCCGCGUGUGUGAAGAAGGUCUUCGGAUUGUAAAGCACUUUAAGUUGGGAGGAAGGGUAGUAAGUUAAUACCUUGCUGUUUUGACGUUACCAACAGAAUAAGCACCGGCUAACUUCGUG